UACAGAGGGGGCUAGCGUUGUUCGGAAUUACUGGGCGUAAAGGGCGCGUAGGCGGCCCUCUAAGUCGAACGUGAAAUCCCCGGGCUCAACCCGGGAACUGCGUCCGAUACUGGAGGGCUCGAAUCCGGGAGAGGGAUGUGGAAUUCCAGGUGUAGCGGUGAAAUGCGUAGAUAUCAGGAGGAACACCGGUGGCGAAGGCGGAUCUCUGGGCCUUACCUGACGCUCAGGCGCGAAAGCUAGGGGAGCGAACAGG
rnacentral:rRNA from 1 species